UAAGAUUUUAAGUUAAUUAAACUAACAUCCUUCAAAGUUGUCAAAAAAAGUAAAAAUCUUUUAAAUCUU
rnacentral:tRNA from 1 species